CUAGCAGCCACUAGCCACUUUAUUUAGCACCGCUUUUAGUACUUCUUUUAUUUUCCAUCUGUGCGCUCAGCAUAAAAACCGCUCGCCUACCUGUAUACCACUCCGAAACUCUCUGCCUACUUUUCGGAGUUAACUUAAUGCCUUAACAACUCACUCGCUCUCUGAAAAAAUAUAAAAAUUAUUGUGCUUCUUUCUUUCUUCACUUCUGCCACUCAUAUUUUCGAAUUGGUCAUUUGUUUUGCUGACUACCAACUCACUUGCGUUUCAAACGAGCGACGACUGUUGACGCGUUUGCACGAGCGAAUCGGCGCGUACGCGUUUAUCUGUCAGUUACAAAGAUACAAAACUAAUUGAAUUUUCGAGUCGAAUUUAUCGAGCGAAUCAGUAGAUAAAUAAAAUCGUUGGAAAAGUAAUAAAUAUUGGCAAUAAAACAAAAAAAAAAAAAACGAAUAUUGCUAAGAAGUAAAAGAAUAUUUCAACCCUCUUAUGACUUGUGCCGCUGUUUUUGUAAUUUUAUAGUGUGCAGAAUUAUGCCCAAGUCCAAUUCCGCGAAAUAAAACACCAAACAAGGCAAAAUUAAAAGAAAAAAAAUAAUUAACAGUGCAAAAAUACCUACGUCAUGAAAAACGGUAAUUUUAAAUGCCAUAAAGCGCUUUUAGCCUACCAAAAGUGAAGCUUAAAAGCGAAUUUAUUGUUAAAUUGUGAAAUUGGUGAAAAAUAUAUAAAAAUAAAAAAACAAACGAAUACCAAAACUACGUUAGAGCAUUGCAACCGAUUUUUUUUUCUCUUUUGAAACGAAAGCGCCACAAAAUUUUUUCAAAACAACGAAACUGGAUUCUGCCAUCGUGGAUACUAUAAGUCACUUGAAAAUGGUCUUUGGUGGCCGUUUUCGCAUCAGAAGGUGAGUUUUUUCAUCGCAUGCAAAUUUAUAUUGCCAAUGUUGUACACAACAAACGAACGACUACAUCACUGGACUUACAUAAAUAAUUAUGGGCAUGUGAGCAGGUAUUUAUGUAUGUAUGUACAUAUGUAAAUAAAAUAAAUUCAUGAAAUCUCGUAUGUAGAAUAUACGAGCAAAAGUAGUUACGUUAGUACGUGACAAGAGAAAACGUGCUUGUUGUUGCAGUAAAUGCGCAUAAAAUUGAAAAAAAAUA